rnacentral:tRNA from 1 species
GGAGAAGUGGCUGAGAGGUCGAAAGCGCAUGCCUGGAAAGCAUGUAUACAUGAACAAAUGUAUCGAGGGUUCGAAUCCCUCCUUGUCCG